UACGGAGGGUGCAAGCGUUAUCCGGAUUCACUGGGUUUAAAGGGUGCGUAGGAGGGCAGGUAAGUCAGUGGUGAAAUCCCCGAGCUUAACUUGGGAACUGCCGUUGAUACUAUCUGUCUUGAAUGUUGUGGAGGUAAGCGGAAUAUGUCAUGUAGCGGUGAAAUGCUUAGAUAUGACAUAGAACACCAAUUGCGAAGGCAGCUUGCUACACAAUUAUUGACUCUGAUGCACGAAAGCGUGGGGAUCAAACAGG
rnacentral:rRNA from 2 species